rnacentral:rRNA from 1 species
UACGUAGGCAGCAAGCGUUGUUCGGAGUUACUGGGCGUAAAGGGUGUGUAGGCGGUUUUUUUAAGUUUGGUGUGAAAUCUCCCGGCUCAACUGGGAGGGUGCGCCGAAUACUGAAAGACUAGAGUGCGGGAGAGGAAAGUGGAAUUCCUGGUGUAGCGGUGAAAUGCGUAGAUAUCAGGAGGAACACCGGUGGUGUAGACGGCUUUCUGGACCGUAACUGACGCUGAGACACGAAAGCGUGGGUAGCAAACAGG